rnacentral:rRNA from 1 species
UACAGAGGUCCCAAGCGUUGUUCGGAUUCAUUGGGCGUAAAGGGUGCGUAGGUGGCGCCGUAAGUGGGGGUGUGAAAAUUUCGGAGCUUAACUCCGAAACUGCAUUCCAUACUGCGGUGCUUGAGGACUGGAGAGGAGACUGGAAUUUACGGUGUAGCAGUGAAAAUGCGUAGAGAUCGUAAGGAAGACCAGUGGCGAAGGCGGGUCUCUGGACAGUUCCUGACACUGAGGCACGAAGGCCAGGGGAGCAAAACGGG